CCUACGGGGGGCUGCAGUGGGGAAUAUUGGACAAUGGGGGGAACCCUGAUCCAGCCAUGCCGCGUGUGUGAAGAAGGCCCUCGGGUUGUAAAGCACUUUCAGUGAGGAAGAACGCCUGGUGGUUAAUACCCAUCAGGAAAGACAUCACUCACAGAAGAAGCACCGGCUAACUCCGUGCCAGCAGCCGCGGUAAUACGGAGGGUGCGAGCGUUAAUCGGAAUUACUGGGCGUAAAGCGCGCGUAGGUGGCUUGAUAAGCCGGUUGUGAAAGCCCCGGGCUCAACCUGGGAACGGCAUCCGGAACUGUCAAGCUAGAGUGCAGGAGAGGAAGGUAGAAUUCCCGGUGUAGCGGUGAAAUGCGUAGAGAUCGGGAGGAAUACCAGUGGCGAAGGCGGCCUUCUGGACUGACACUGACACUGAGGUGCGAAAGCGUGGGUAGCAAACAGGAUUAGAUACUCCUGUAGUC
rnacentral:rRNA from 1 species